AGGAUGAAUGCUGGCGGCGUGGAUAAGGCAUGCAAGUCAAGGGGGCCGCAAGGCAACCGGCAGACGAGGUAGUAAUACGCAGGUACGUACCGAAAAGUCGGGCAUAGCUCGUCGAAAGACGGGGUAAUUUCCGAUAGUCCCUACGGGGUAAAGGAGCAAUCCGCUUUUUGAACGGCCUGCGGAGCAUCAGCUAGUUGGUAAGGUAAUGGCUUACCAAGGCUAUGACGCUUAGGGGACCUGAGAGGGUGACCCCCACCGAUGGUACUGAGACACGGACCAUACACCUACGGGUGCUGCAGUCGAGAAUCUUCCACAAUGGGCGAAAGCCUGGAUGGAGCGACGCCGCGUGAUGGAUGAAGUCCUUAGGGACGUAAACAUCUUUUAUGCGUGAGAAAAGUAUUGAUGUUAGCGCAUGAAUAAGAGGCUCCUAACGUCUAGUGCCAGCAGCCGC
rnacentral:rRNA from 1 species